GGUCGAGUGACUCUGCGCCGAAAAUGUACCGGGGCUAAACGUAUCACCGAAGCUGCGGACUGUUCUUCGAACAGUGGUAGGAGAGCGUUCUAAGGGCUGUGAAGCCAGACCGGAAGGACUGGUGGAGCGCUUAGAAGUGAGAAUGCCGGUAUGAGUAGCGAAAGAGGGGUGAGAAUCCCCUCCACCGAAUGCCUAAGGUUUCCUGAGGAAGGCUCGUCCGCUCAGGGUUAGUCGGGACCUAAGCCGAGGCCGAAAGGCGUAGGCGAUGGACAACAGGUUGAUAUUCCUGUACCACCUCCUCACCAUUUGAGCAAUGGGGGGACGCAGGAGGAUAGGGUAAGCGCGGUAUUGGAUAUCCGCGUCCAAGCAGUUAGGCUGU
rnacentral:rRNA from 1 species